rnacentral:lncRNA from 1 species
AGCCUGGCUGUACCCAGGGGCUGAGCCCGGAGGAGAAAAUGUCCUUGGAGAAGAGGCUCCCAAGCUGGCUUUCAGCCCUCUCCAGUACUGCAUAGCCAAAGGUUGUGGGGAAAGGGAAUGAGAAGAUGCUCAGUUAAAGAAAAUUGGAGGGCCGGGCGCGGUGGCUCACGCCUGUAAUCCCAGCACUUUGGGAGGCCGAGGUGGGCGGAUCACGAGGUCAGGAGAUUGAGACCAUCCUGGCUAACAUGGUCAAACCCUGUCUCUACUAAAAAUACAAAAAAUUAGCCUGGCGUGGUGGCGGACGCCUGUAGUCCCACCUACUCGGGAGGCUGAGGCAGGAGAAUGGUGUGAACCAGGAGGCGGAGCUUGCAGUGAGCCGAGAUCACGCCACUGCACUCCAGCCUGGAUGACAGAGCGAGACUCCAUCUCAAAAAAAAAAAAAAAAAAAAAAAAGAAAGAAAGAAAAAGGGAAAGAAAGAAAAAAUUGGAGAAAAGAGAAAAAACAGAGUCAAUUCUGCUUGGUAGAUCCGAGAGAAAAGAACCUGCUCCUACUGCCCAAGUUGAAAUGCUUCGAUCCAAGAGGGUGCGUCUCACGUUUCAUCAGUGACGGUUCCCUGUGAGUGCAUUCCUUUGCUGUGGAGUCCGUCUACUGCAAAAGAGCUUCAGCCAGUGUCAUCGAUGGGACAAACAUGCCCAUGGCCUGCUAAAUAACGCAGGGCACUUGCCCUUUCAGAUGGAGGUUUAGAAGAAGGCUUAUGUGAUUUUGCAUUUUUCUCCAACAGAGAGAGCCACGAAGGAGGGUUGGAAACAGGAGGACUUGUCACUAGUUAAAAAACAAAACUACACACACACAUUCAAUAAACAGGAAAAUUAUUUAAAUAAGCAAUCCCCAGGAAAAAAAAUAUGAAAGCCAAUUUUAUUCAUAAAACAACUGAUUUACUGCAUUCUAGCUAAAAGCGGCUUUUAACUCAAGCCUCUGAGAUUCUAUUUAUUAUUCAGCAAAAUAUUCAAGAUUAUUUAAUAAAGGUAUCUUUAAUACUAAUAUGGCAGCAAAAGCUAAUAUAUGUAAAAUAAUUAUUAUGAAAAGUAUUAUCAAUAUUUGGGGGAAAUAAUGUACAUGCAUAAUGAAUGGAUUUUGCCCCUGGGUUUAUGCUUAUAUCUUGGCCUGAUUUUGCAUGGAGAAAUUCUGCAUUAUAAUGAAAGGCAAAAUGAUCACACGUUAUAACUGCGAGUUUUUUAUCACUGCUUAGAAGAAUCCUAAAACUGUCACCUAAACAGGAAAAAAUAUAUAUAUUCCAUAUAAAUGUGCAUAUGGUGAGGUUUAUAAUUUUCUGAGUGGUUGAAAACACUCGAACACCCAACUGCUUUCAAAAUGACAAUUAUUGGCCUCAAAGAAGUAAAUAAAAAAUUUUUGAUAGCCAACUAUCCCAAAAAUACUACUAAAUUCUAAGCAAAGGAAGGUUUGUGCAGAUCUAUGUUUCAGUUUAAAGAUUCUUGAAGCUGAAGUUCUCAGGCAUUUCUCAAAUGGCAUACACAAACUAAAGCAAAUAAAGAACUAUUUUUGUUUUCCUGAGCCAAUGAGGAAUUUUCAAACUUUAAAAAAAACUCUUUCUCCAGCUUCACCCCCACCUCAAACUUACAGAGUGAAAAAUCAAAUUCUAUUCAAAAAACAUAUUAGCAUUGCUCCUUGUGUCAAAGCCUGUGACAAUACAAAGAAAAAUUGAGGAGUGUUCCUCCCCCUCUAAAGCAUAGAAUCAUAAAAUAGAAUGUGAAAUAACUCUGCAAUUGUAGUCUAUUCUCUUAUUUUAGAGAUAUGGAAACUGAGACUUAAACAUAGCAAAAUCAUUCAAAUCUACAUUUCCUUAUAUCUAAUGCAGGGAACUUUCUAGAAGCUCCCACUUCUGCCCACCAACUUUACCAGGGCAACCAAAGAAGAUUCAAUGUCCAUUGAUGAUGUCAACUAUGUCCACAUAAAAUCUGCAUAUCUUCCACUAAGGCGGGUCUGAGGCACUGGGGACCAAGCUGAAGUUACCCUUUGCCACGCUUAGCUUAGACCCCAGUUUGAACAGCAACUCAAUAGACCAUUAUCUGGCACCUACUAUGCACAAAGCAUGAUGCUGGUCACACUCAACAUCCUCCAUUCUUCUCUACUGAAAUUUCUGGAGUGAAGGUUCCCACCUUAAAUGAUUCCCAAGAUAAGGCAGGCAUGUUCAGCAUCAUUUAAAGAAAACAAAAGUUUCCAAACAUUUGCAAGCUCUGGAAUUUAUGUGUAAGAACUAAUGUUUGAGAGGGUUUUUUGUUUUUGUUAAGUGACUACAGUAUAAAUCUCACAAACUGCAUAAAUCAGGCUUGACUCCAGCCCCACAAGUAAGGCUGGGACCGAUUUAUGGCGAGGCAUGAGAGAAGAACAGUGUGUUUUAUUUACCACCUGACAUUUACACAUGAAGGAGCCUUGUGGGGGUUGGCCUGUGAGGGUUGGGAAGUAAUCCACAAGGUUACAAUAAAUCCACCUGUGAAUGGCAACCCCUUGGGGUAAAAACUUGGUCUCAAAUAACCUCAAAGUAAUUCUGUCUGGUGGAAGAUUCUUUAUCCUGAUCAAGGAUAAUGUUGAAUUAGAAGUCCAGUGUAACAACAGCCACGCCUUUCUUAGCUUUAAACACUGCUGAUUUAUUAUUAUUAUUAUUAUCAUUAGCAUUAGCAUUAGCAUUAGAGAGCAUACAUUAUGGGCUUUUUCCAUCUUCACUGUUGGCAUUUGGAGAUUUGAGGCCACCAUUUAGUGCCAAUAAACAGAAGGCCUGGUUUCUUCAAAAGAAACACAAGAAAUUGUUUCCUGGUUUUGCCACAGAGAUUGGGUCACAGAGUGCCACCUAAAUGGUAUUACCAUAUUUGUGUUGUCGCCUCUUGGUUUGAAAUUUAUUCCUGGUAUGACUUGUGUCUCCCCUUGUUCCAUCUCUGACACCCAAGCCCAUGGGAUGACAACCCAGGCUGAGAUGUCCCAUGUGUCACAAAGGAGUCCUUCAGUAUUUCCAGGAAUAGUUGGAACCAGCACUCCAUCCCCUACCUGGACCUGGCACCCUCUCUACUCUUGUCAAUUCUACACUAAUCACAGGAAGAAGGUGGAAUUAGUCCAAGCUGGGUUUUCAGAAAUAACUUGUAGACAUGCAACAGAUGUUUAUAACCCUCAGAAGCGGAAGGAAACUUGGAAACCCUCUCUUUCGGUGACUUUUUUUCUAAUGAUUGUCUCUGCCAUGAAAUUCUAACUUCAAAUGAAAUCUUUGGCAGGAACCCAGGGCUGUUCUGUCAAGGUUCAGCUGCAGGACCAGAGCCCCUUCCACCUAACCCCCACUCCUAUCCUGAUGCUUCCUGAGGCACAUCUGCUGUGGUUUCUCACCAGAGAACAGUCUGCAAAAUCACUGCACCUUGUCCAACUCCAUUUUCCAACUGAGAAGACUUGGCCCAGAGAAGUGCACAGACUUGAGGGAAGUAACACAGCAAUCGGACAGACAGACAUCCCCAGAUAUACCUGCUACGGUCCUGGGAGAAAAUAGAGACCCAUCCCCAAAUACCAUCAUCCUCAUCAUUCUCUGUAGCCCAAUCAAAUGAUGCUCCAGGCCUGAGAUUUUAUCCAAUGAACACUCUGUACAUCUUUAAAAGAGAUAUGUACUUGUCUUAUUCCUCCUUUCCUUUCUUUAAAAAAAAACACAGGCCCCAGAUCCAGUCAUUCUAAAUAGGAAGGAAAAACAUAACCCACUGAGGCAAUGGAUGCUGUUUCUCUCCCUGCUCUGUGACUUUAGUUUGCCUUUAAAGCCCAUUUUCACCAUUUAUUGAUUUUAGUUUUCUACUUGUCUAUGAAUGACAACUUGAAUUAAGACAACGCAGGCUGAAAAGCCGCUAGGCAGUGCUAAAUGGACAAGCUACACUUCGUGGCAGGAUGUCUCAUGACCGUGCCACCUUCUGCCUAGCCCCAUUCUCUGGAGGAGCUGUGGGCAGACCGACCCCAGCCUGGCCGCCUGGCAUGGGGACUGGUUGCGUCAGAUCGGAGCUCUGAGAUAAGGGUGGGCCAGGGCAUGAUCAUCACCACUGCCAGCCUCGAAGCCUCUUUGCUGACCUGGAGGUGAUCUGUGUAUCAAAGGGGGCUGUGUAUUCAACAGCACUUCCAGAAGAGGCCAAAGAUCUGUCUCUACUUCAGCCUCCACUGGGCAGAAAACUAAGCCUAUUUGCUCUAGGCCCUUCAGACUUGCACUUGGAGAAAGAAAACUCACUAAGUCAGCCCUUAUGUAACUCCACUCUCCUCUCUUCCAAACCUCCUUGCUUUGGACAAAUAUUUGACAGAAAAUGCCCUUUUGCAACGCCUUAAAAGUUACAAAAAUGGUGCACCCUAUCCUUUAAUCUGUACUGUAAAUAAAAAAUAUUAACACAAACCCUUUAACCC